GGGGGUUAUUGUUGAUCGCUGCUAACGAUUACAGGAGAUUUAGUUCUUUCUCGGCUCCUU
rnacentral:tRNA from 1 species